UUGGAGGGCAGUCUGGUGCCAGCAGCCGCGGUAAUUCCAGCUCCAAUAGCGUAUAUUAAAGUUGUUGCAGUUAAAAAGCUCGUAGUUGAAUUUCGGGAUCAGACUGUCGGUCGUGCCUCGGUACGCACUGGCAUUAUUGGUUCCUACCUUCUGAAGAACCGCGAUGUCAUUAAUUUGGUGUCGCGGGGAAUCAGGACUGUUACUUUGAAAAAAUUAGAGUGUUUAAAGCAGGCGCACGCUUGAAUACAUUAGCAUGGAAUAAUGAAAUAGGACGUUUGAUUCUAUUUUGUUGGUUUCUAGGAUCGACGUAAUGAUUAAUAGGGAUAGUUGGGGGCAUUAGUAUUCAAUUGUCAGAGGUGAAAUUCUUGGAUUUAUUGAAGACUAACUACUGCGAAAGCAUUUGCCAAGGAUGUUUUCAUUAAUCAAGAACGAAAGUUAGGGGAUCGAAGACGAUCAGAUACCGUCGUAGUCUUAACCAUAAACUAUGCCGACUAGGGAUCGGAUGAUGUUAAUUUUAUAAUGACUCAUUCGGCGCCUUACGGGAAAC
rnacentral:rRNA from 1 species